AUUGAACGCUGGCGGCAUGCCUUACACAUGCAAGCCGAACGGCAGCACGGGAGCAAUCCUGGUGGCGAGUGGCGAACGGGUGAGUAAUGUAUCGGAACGUACCUUUCAGUGGGGGAUAACGUAGCGAAAGUUACGCUAAUACCGCAUAUUCUGUGAGCAGGAAAGCAGGGGAUCGCAAGACCUUGCGCUGAUUGAGCGGCCGAUAUCAGAUUAGCUAGUUGGUGAGGUAAAGGCUCACCAAGGCGACGAUCUGUAGCGGGUCUGAGAGGAUGAUCCGCCACACUGGGACUGAGACACGGCCCAGACUCCUACGGGAGGCAGCAGUGGGGAAUUUUGGACAAUGGGCGAAAGCCUGAUCCAGCAAUGCCGCGUGCAGGAUGAAGGCCUUCGGGUUGUAAACUAGCUUUUGUUACGGAACGAAAGACUCUGGGCUAAUACCCCGGAGUCAUGACGGUACCGUAAGAAUAAGACA
rnacentral:rRNA from 1 species